rnacentral:rRNA from 1 species
AUUGAACGCUGGCGGCAUGCUUUACACAUGCAAGUCGAACGGUAACAGGCCGCAAGGUGCUGACGAGUGGCGAACGGGUGAGUAAUGCAUCGGAACGUGCCCAGUCGUGGGGGAUAACGCAGCGAAAGCUGCGCUAAUACCGCAUACGAUCUAUGGAUGAAAGCGGGGGACCGUAAGGCCUCGCGCGAUUGGAGCGGCCGAUGUCAGAUUAGGUAGUUGGUGGGGUAAAGGCUCACCAAGCCGACGAUCUGUAGCUGGUCUGAGAGGACGACCAGCCACACUGGGACUGAGACACGGCCCAGACUCCUACAGGAGGCAGCAGUGGGGAAUUUUGGACAAUGGGCGCAAGCCUGAUCCAGCAAUGCCGCGUGCAGGAAGAAGGCCUUCGGGUUGUAAACUGCUUUUGUACGGAACGAAAUGACUCUGGUUAAUACCUGGGGCUAAUGACGGUACCGUAAGAAUAAGCACCGGCUAACUACGUGCCAGCCGCCGCUGUAACAC